rnacentral:lncRNA from 1 species
ACUUGAUUUACAAAAGCAGGAGACUGGCCUGUAGCCUUAGUUUGCCAACCCCUGGAUGAGUGGGUUCCCAGGUCUGCAGUGAGAAGGGGAGAGGCCAGGGCAGUGGCGAGCAGGAGAGAAGGCAGCUGAGGGUGGGAGGCCUACCAGGCCCUGAACAGAGAGUGCGUGCUGCCCAGCUUCAUGAAGAGCCGGUGCUGCAGGUCCAGAGGUGCCUCUUUAAAGAAAGAUGCCGGCUUGUCGUAGACGGUCACAGCCCUGCAGUGAAAUCAUGGCAGGGCUAUUGCAUUAGUCCAGCGUGGAGGCUACUUUCUGCUCAAACCACUCAUUUGGGUCCCGUGCCCAAUGUCACCCAUCCUCAGCAAAACAACCUUUAUUUCCUUCUUCCUGGUUUCCAGAAAGUUCCCCUAAAGCCCUGAGGAAUCAACGAAUGAAGGGGGCUUUUUACAAACAGGAAACUUAAGUGGAGUGCCAAUACACAACAUGGAUUGCACCAGGCUAGGUCUAAGAUAAAACCAGACUGUGGACAACAGGCCAGAUAAGACCCACAUGGCUCUGCACUGCCUGGGUCUCUUAUUGUGUGGAGGAAUGUCUAAGUCUGUUGCUCCUGUGGGUGCAGCUAAAGCACGAACCAGGAGUCUUCAUCCUUAGAAAGCAGUUAGACAGACAUCUGAGAACCAAUCCCAAACUGCAGCCUUCCAAAGAAACUUCUGGAACCUUCUGAAAUGCAACUUAUUACUGCCAGAGGGUCUUUGAUGAGAGUCUACUCUCCACCAUUUGUCUUCAAAGAGAAUACCCACAUAUUCUCUUUCCGUGGAAAGGGUCUCACUCUGUCGCCCAGGCUGGAAGGCCUUGGUGCAAUCUCAG